rnacentral:rRNA from 1 species
AGAGUUUGAUCCUGGCUCAGGAUAAACGCUGGCGGCGUGCCUAACACAUGCAAGUCGAACGCCCUUCGCAAGAAGGGAGUGGCGGACGGGUGAGGAACACGUGGGUAUCUGCCUUGAGGUGAGGAAUACCAGCGAGAAAUCGCUGACAAUACCGCAUACGUUUGGACAUCCAAACAAAGUCGUAAGACGCCACAAGAUGA